AACGAACGCUGGCGGCAUGCCUAACACAUGCAAGUCGAACGAGACCUUCGGGUCUAGUGGCGCACGGGUGCGUAACGCGUGGGAACCUGCCCUUAGGUUCGGAAUAACUCCCCGAAAGGGGUGCUAAUACCGGAUAAUGUCUUCGGACCAAAGAUUUAUCGCCUUUGGAUGGGCCCGCGUUGGAUUAGCUAGUUGGUAGGGUAAAAGCCUACCAAGGCGACGAUCCAUAGCUGGUCUGAGAGGAUGAUCAGCCACACUGGGACUGAGACACGGACCAGACUCCUACGGGAGGCAGCAGUGGGGAAUAUUGGACAAUGGGCGAAAGCCUGAUCCAGCAAUGCCGCGUGAGUGAUGAAGGCCUUAGGGUUGUAAAGCUCUUUUACCCGGGAUGAUAAUGACAGUACCGGGAGAAUAAGCACCGGCUAACUCCGUG
rnacentral:rRNA from 1 species